GAUGAACGCUGGCGGCGUGCUUAACACAUGCAAGUCGAACGGAGAGCUCAUGACAGAGGAUUCGUCCAAUGGAUUGAGUUUCUUAGUGGCGGACGGGUGAGUAACGCGUGAGGAACCUGCCUCGGAGUGGGGAAUAACAGUCCGAAAGGACUGCUAAUACCGCAUAAUGCAGCUGAGUCGCAUGACUCUGGCUGCCAAAGAUUUAUCGCUCUGAGAUGGCCUCGCGUCUGAUUAGCUAGUUGGCGGGGUAACGGCCCACCAAGGCGACGAUCAGUAGCCGGACUGAGUAGGGUUCGGCCGGCCACAGUUGGGACUGAGACACCGGCCCAGACUCCGUACGGGAGGCAGCAGGUGGGGAAUAG
rnacentral:rRNA from 1 species